AUUGAACGCUGGCGGCAUGCCUUACACAUGCAAGUCGAACGGCAGCACGGGAGCAAUCCUGGUGGCGAGUGGCGAACGGGUGAGUAAUACAUCGGAACGUGCCCGAUAGUGGGGGAUAGCCCGGCGAAAGCCGGAUUAAUACCGCAUACGACCUGCGGGUGAAAGCGGGGGAUCGCAAGACCUCGCGCUAUCGGAGCGGCCGAUGUCAGAUUAGGUAGUUGGUGAGGUAAAGGCUCACCAAGCCUUCGAUCUGUAGCUGGUCUGAGAGGACGACCAGCCACACUGGGACUGAGACACGGCCCAGACUCCUACGGGAGGCAGCAGUGGGGAAUUUUGGACAAUGGGCGCAAGCCUGAUCCAGCCAUGCCGCGCGCGGGAAGAAGGCCUUCGGGUUGUAAACCGCUUUUGUCAGGGAAGAAACGCUCUGGGCUAAUACCCCGGAGUAAUGACGGUACCUGAAGAAUAAGCACCGGCUAACUACGUGCCAGCAGCCGCGGUAAUACGUAGGGUGCAAGCGUUAAUCGGAAUUACUGGGCGUAAAGCGUGCGCAGGCGGUCAUGCAAGACAGAUGUGAAAUCCCCGGGCUUAACCUGGGAACUGCAUUUGUGACUGCAUGGCUUGAGUGCGGCAGAGGGGGAUGGAAUUCCGCGUGUAGCAGUGAAAUGCGUAGAUAUGCGGAGGAACACCGAUGGCGAAGGCAAUCCCCUGGGCCUGCACUGACGCUCAUGCACGAAAGCGUGGGGAGCAAACAGGAUUAGAU
rnacentral:rRNA from 1 species